AGCAUUUGUGGGGGUAUUUUAUUUGAUUUGUGGACAAAGACAUAUAGACAAGAGCAAAAAAUAAAUCCUCUUUGCAACCCGGAACUCACUGUUCAGUAUGAAUUUGGAUCCAGAUAAGGACCAUGACACC
ensembl:snoRNA